UUCAGUUUGUUUGUCUUUUCUUUUUUUUCUUCAUGCUUUUGAUUUCAUCCACAAACCUGCUGAUAUCCAGAGCCGCUCACAGCUGCACGUUUGUCUUUUAUCUGAUCUGUAGGAGUCUGAGUUAUUUUACAUAAACCCUCUCCUCUCUCCCGUGUUCAUCCUCUCCUGGAUCAGCUGGAGUACUGUGAAGUGCUGCCCCCCUCUGGUCAGAGUGGAGUACUGCAGAGUUGGCUCACAGCUCAGGGACUCAUGAUUGCUGCAGUAACAGAUUUCACAGAGUUGUGUUUCCAGUCAUUGUCGGUGUGAAUGCAGGUUUGUUUACAUCGUUUCUUCCUCUUCAGUUCAUCUGCAGAUAUUAGAGACAUAACUACACUCAAACUCAAACACAAACUGAUGUCUGUGGACUUCAUCCACACUCAUGACCGCAGAGAGAAGAAUCACCAACACAGAC